GAGAGAGUGAGAGACAAGACAGAUACAAAGAGAAAGGCAGAGAGAGAGAGAGAGAGAGAGAGAGAGAGAGAAACAGAGACGGAGAGAAAGAGAGGGGGGGCUGAAUCUAUUGUAUGGAAGGUCACAGGGAAUAUAUUCUCCCAAUGUUCUGGGUUUCUGUUGGUGGUUCAAUUCAAGCCCCCCCUUUACAGGACCAUGGAGCACAGGCGUCCGCCCACAGGAAGUGAAUGCAGGCAUGGUGGAACCUGGUGUGCAGAGAGCUAAUGGCAUUGUUUGUUGAGAGCACGUGGAUAAUGUAGUUGUUUAAGCUGUGGAGAACCUGAGAAAAUAGACAUGUCUCCAGGGCCACUUCCUGUGCCCCUUUCUGUCUGGUUUGUUGAUGUUGGUAUUUUAAACUGUGCAUUGGCUAAAAGCAAACUGUGGAAUGGAACAUGUGAGAUGUACCCAACCUGAGCCACAUGUCCUCUUAAAUAUGUUGUUUUGUUUAAAACUGUUGUUUAGUCUCUACUUCACUCUGCCUGCUCAGCCCAGAUCCAAAAGAACCUGUCACGUCUCCACCACAUAGAUGUGUGUGUGGUGUCCGGCAGUAAAUUAUAAUGAAGCAAGGACAAUAAAAUAUCUGUUUAAGAAAAUAUA